rnacentral:ncRNA from 14 species
AAACGACCGGGCGAUGGGGCCCGCCCGACCCAACCGCCGACAGCGACGUCGACCGCGUCUGGAGCGCACAGACUUACCGAGCGUCGUUCGGCUGACGGUCCCUGCGUGAGU